CGGACUCUCGCCUCUUCAUCGUUGCGGCAAAAUUUAUCUUGUCUAAGAACGUCCAUACUUGUUUCAUCUGGUCCAGCAGGUAAAUUCAAGUCGAAGUCACGUUGACUUUGGCUCCAGGAUUUAACACCAUCGUUACCGCUGUUAUUAUUGUUGCUGCCAGCUUCGUAGUGGCAUCUUUUAUGUCCUCCCAAGGCUUGACCUGAAGAAAACGUCUUGUAACAGAUGGAACACGUGUGUGUCUUGCCACCUUGGUUGCUGAUCAUGGGAUGUGAAUUUGUAGCCGUCGUGGAUGCGGUGAAUUUAUCUUCAGCAGCAGCCGUGGUUGUGGGGUCUUCAUCAGCUCCAACAAAUUUCCUGUGACUGGACUUGUG
rnacentral:lncRNA from 1 species